AUGGCCGCAGUAUUUUGACUGUGCAAAGGUAGCAUAAUUAUUAGUUUUUUAAUUGAAAGCUUGUAUGAAGGGUUGGACGAGAUAAAAUCUGUCUUUAUUUAAAUUAAAAUAGAAUUUAACUUUUAAGUCAAAAGGCUUAAAUGUUUGUAAAAGACGAGAAGACCCUAUAGAUCUUUAUUAAAUUUAAAUUUUGAUAAUUUAAGAUUAUUUUAAUUUGAAGUUUAAAUUUAAUUUUAUUGGGGUAAUAUAAAGAUUAAAUAAAUUCUUUUUAUUAAUUACAUUAAUUUAUGUAUAUAUGAUCCAUUAUUAUUGAUUAUAAGAUUAAGUUACCUUAGGGAUAACAGCGUAAUUUUUUUGGAGAGCUCAUAUCGAUAAAAAAGUUUGCGACCUCGAUGUUGGAUUAAAAAUUAGCUUGGGUGCAGAAGCUCAAGAUUUUGGUCUGUUCGACCAUUAAAUUUUUACAUGAUCUGAGUUCAGACCGGCGUAAGCCAGGUCGGUUUCUAUCUUUAUUUAAAUAAAAUAUUUUAGUACGAAAGGACCAAGUAUUUAAUAUAAUUAUAUUUAUUUUUUGAAUAAUAUU
rnacentral:rRNA from 1 species